rnacentral:rRNA from 1 species
GAUUAAGUUAUUAAGGGCGCACGGUGGAUGCCUUGGCACUAGAAGCCGAUGAAGGACGUUACUAACGACGAUAUGCUUUGGGGAGCUGUAAGUAAGCUUUGAUCCAGAGAUUUCCGAAUGGGGAAACCCAGCAUGAGUUAUGUCAUGUUAUCGAUAUGUGAAUACAUAGCAUAUCAGAAGGCACACCCGGAGAACUGAAACAUCUUAGUACCCGGAGGAAGAGAAAGAAAAUUCGAUUCCCUUAGUAGCGGCGAGCGAAACGGGAAGAGCCCAAACCAACAAGCUUGCUUGUUGGGGUUGUAGGACACUCUGUACGGAGUUACAAAGGACGACAUUAGACGAAUCAUCUGGAAAGAUGAAUCAAAGAAGGUAAUAAUCCUGUAGUCGAAAAUGUUGUCUCUCUUGAGUGGAUCCUGAGUACGACGGAGCACGUGAAAUUCCGUCGGAAUCUGGGAGGACCAUCUCCUAAGGCUAAAUACUCUCUAGUGACCGAUAGUGAACCAGUACCGUGAGGGAAAGGUGAAAAGCACCCCGGAAGGGGAGUGAAAUAGAACCUGAAACCGUGUGCUUACAAGUAGUCAGAGCCCGUUAAUGGGUGAUGGCGUGCCUUUUGUAGAAUGAACCGGCGAGUUACGAUUUGAUGCAAGGUUAAGCAGUAAAUGUGGAGCCGUAGCGAAAGCGAGUCUGAAUAGGGC